GGGCCUGUAACAUAGCUUGGAUAGUGUGGAAGGCUUCGGACCUUCAUACCUGGGUUCAAAUCCCAGCAGGCUCA
rnacentral:tRNA from 2 species